rnacentral:rRNA from 1 species
AUGAUUCCAUCACAAGUUGGGAUGAGUCUCCGGACUUUAAAGAAAAUAAAAGAGGCCAAAGCAGCCCAAAUAAAAAAAGGAGGCCAAAGAAGCCCAAACAAAAAAAAGGAAAAAAAAGAAAAAAAAGAGAAAAGAGAGAAGGGACAAUGUUACUAUCCUUUUUUCCACACUUGUCCUUUCUCAUUCUUUUUGUCUUCUCCACAACCAUCAUAUUCUAUUCCACCUAUAGUGUUAUAUCCAUGGCUCACGCUCAUAUAUUGCAUGAAAGUUGAAAAAAGUUUGAGAACACUAAAAGUAUGA